GCCCUCCCCCAUUCCAUUUCUAGACUAAGCAUAGAUGGGUUUAUUUUAAUAAAAAAAAUGAUGUUCUCACAUACAUAAAAGUAGGCAUGAGCAGUAUUCAGUUUGAACCAAAAAACCGAACCGAUUAUUGAGCCAAUUAGGUUCAAUCGUCUUGGUUUUUGAGUUCUUUAGGUGGAGUUUGGUUAUGAAUUUUUAAUAUUUUUGGUUUUUUAGUUUAGUUUGGUUCGGUUAAUUCAGUGAAAAAUAAAAAAAAGUGAACCUAACUGAUUUUCACCCAAUACUAAAGUGAUAUCGUUUUUAUCUAGGCUACAUAUAUCACAUAUUAAACAUUAACCUUAUUUUUUAUGCCACUUAACUGCAGCCACCCAACCCAACCUCCUCCUCCUUCUUCUUCUUCU
rnacentral:misc_RNA from 1 species